CAAAGAUUAGGUUCAGAACGUCCGAAAAUUUUCCCGCGAUAUCAAGAUGGAGAAAAGGAUGAAAGACUCCCAAACUCCGCAGAGAGAUCAAGCGGCAAAUCGUAGAUCGAGGAAACCUCUGAAGAUCGCCAAAUACUUGACUGCCACAUUUUCACUUUUCCGAUGAUAAAAUCCAGCAAAGUUCGAAGCAAGACUUCUCUUCGAUUUCUGUUGUCUCAGACGUCAAUCAAAUUCCAGAUAUCGAUCGAUGUUUGUUGCAUGAUGUUAAUCCGGCUCUUUCUGCUUGCUGCGGGAGCUCUCUUAUCCCCGAUCUUUCUCCAUCUUCAAUUGUCACUUUUGAUAAUGGACAGCUUGACAAAGUUCCAGUUAAUUUUUCUGGAUCUAAUGAUUUGGAUGAAAGUAGCGCGGGUUCAGUAGGAGCAGAGAUUGCUGUAAAUUCUUUAAGUCGUGCUCUAACUCAAGUCCUGCAAUCCACGGAUGUUGAUCAUCAGGCCAAGAAGCUUAUAGAUGCAUCCAUAAGGAUCAUUGUAGACGAUUUCCUUGCUAUACCUCAAGAUCGAGACCAGAUUUUUCAACUUAUUUCUGCCAAAAGUCAAGUUCUCUCUAUAUCCUUAUUCUUGUGGAUCAUCGUCUUGGCAUUAGCUUUCUUUUUCGAUUCGGAAGUCAAGAGCUCUUUCAUCGGGCCAUUGCCAACUUAAACUUGCUGUUCGAGCAUCAGAGCAUUGUUGCAUAUCUUUAGCAACUCCUUCCAGGUGCAUAAUAUGCAAAUCAAGUAUGCUAUUAGAAAAAGCUCAACAGAAAACGAUGACCUAAACAAUGAAAUCAUAUGACUGAUUGAAGAGAACAUGUCAGUGGUUGGCACAACUCAUACUGAUAAUGACAAAGUUUACUGCCAGCUGAAUGUGAGUAAGAAUGGGAAGUCUCUAUUUACAUAACAUAAAGGAUUGGAAUGAAGAACCGGCGCUCAGGUUUGCCUUUGGCGGCUCCAUUUUCCCUGAAUUAAUAAGGU